GUCUAUGGCCAUACCACCCUGAAUGUGCCCAAUCUCAUCUGACCUCAGAAGCUAAUCAGGGUCCGACCUGGUUAGAACAUGGAUGGGAGAUGUGUGUCAUCUAUC
ensembl:rRNA 5S_rRNA 5S ribosomal RNA